UUCAGGUGUUUUCAUUUGGUGAUCAGGACUGAACACACAGGACUCACCAUGGAGCCAUGGCUGAGCUGGGUUUUUCUUGUUGCUAUUUUAAAAGGUGUCCAGUGUGAGGUGAAGCUGGUAGAGUCUGGGGGAGGCUUGGUCCAGCCUGGCGGGUCCCUGAGACUCUCCUGUGCAGCCUCUGGAUUCACCUUCAGUAACUACUGGAUGUUCUGGGUCCGCCAGGCUCCAGGGAAGGGGCUGGAGUGGGUCUCAAGUAUUAGUGGUAGCAGUAGUAGCACAUACUACCCAGACUCUGUCAAGGGCCGAUUCACCAUCUCCAGAGACAACGCCAAGAACACGCUGUAUCUGCAAAUGAACAGCCUGAGAGCUGAGGACACGGCUGUCCAUUACUGUGCGAGAGACACAGUGAGGGGAAGUCAGUGUGAGCCCAGACACAAACCUCCCUGCAGAAAUGCUCAGGGAAAAUCAGCUGCAGGGGGCACUCAGGACCCACUGAUCAGAGUCAAUCCCAGAGGCAAGUGCAGAUGGAGGCUGAUUUCCUGUCAGGAUCAUGUUGUUCAGAACCUGUGCAUGCCGACAACUAUGAUUCCUGGUGCACUCCUGGCCUGGUGAAGCCCUCACAGACCCUCUCCCUCACCUAUGCCAUGCCUGCAUUCUCCAUCACAACCAGUGCUUCCUGCUAG